rnacentral:rRNA from 1 species
CCUACGGGUGGCAGCAGUAGGGAAUUUUGCGCAAUGGGCGAAAGCCUGACGCAGCAACGCCGCGUGAUCGAGACGCCCUUCGGGGUGUAAAGAUCUGUCAGUGGGGACGACACUUGACGGUACCAACAGAGGAAGCACCGGCUAACUCUGUGCCAGCAGCCGCGGUCAUACGGGGGGUGCAAGCGUUGUCCGGAAUCAGUGGGCGUAAAGAGUUCGUAGGCGGCACGUAAAGUCUGGUGUUAACGGCAGGGGAUCAACUUCUGUACGGCACUGGAUACUUGCGAGCUAGAAUGCGGUAGAGGGAAAGGGAAUUCCUGGUGUAGCGGUGAAAUGCUUAGAUAUCAGGAGGAACAUCGGUGGCGUAGGCGCUUUACUGGGCCUUAAUUGACGCUGAGGAACGAAGGCCAGGGUAGCAAAUGGGAUUAGAUACCCUGGUAGUC